UGUAGUUAUCCUUCUUAUAUACUGUCUAUGUAGUUAGCUUAAAACUUCGGUACAAAGUGGUACCAAAAUGAAAAGAAAGGAAGGAAAGAGAAAACAACUCGCAACUAAGUUUUAUCAGAAGAAAAUAGAGGCCUGUGAAGUAAAAUCACAAAUACUACAUUUCAACUACUGUCCAAGCAGUUGAAGUGGAGAGGGGGAGAGAAACUGCUCCAGAGUGAAGCAGCAAUUUCCCAUCACCUGGUGAUGUUCCUGAAGACAUGACACAAGGGCGGCGUGCGUCAUCAUUGCAGUGGGGAGAGGACUCAAAGUGCUGAAACAAGACAAUGACGGGGAGAGAAAAAGGACACCGCUGAUUCACA